GUUCAUGACAUCACCCCCUGACAUCGGCCCAGAGGUGUGCUGGAACCUUCUCGUUUGGCCUUGGAAGAGCUCGUGCUUAAUUCAUUCGCUAAGGGUGGAAAGGACAAACUCCUAAGAUGCUGAAUUGGCUGUCGUCACUCAAUAAAGGAAAGCUUCCUUGCUAGGCUGUGGGCUUCCAUCCAUCAUCCUGACAUGCAUGCGGGCUGAUUCAGACCAUUCUCUCAUUGAUAAGACUCAAGUAUGAUCUUCGGAUCAAAGCAGUUCUGCAUCAAGACUGAGCAAUCAACAAACAGCUGAAUGGAACGGGUAAUGACUAUUGUCAGCAGAGGAAUGGAAUAGUGGAUUCGGAGUCAGAGGAGGUGUGUUUGCCUCUAGCCCUGCUACUUUCUACCUGUGCUCUUGGUCAACUCAUUUAAUUCCUCUGAGCCUCAAAUCAUUCACUCAUCUAUGAAUCGAAGGGGUUGAUUCUGGAAAGACAUUUGGAUCUAUACUCUCCAAAUCACAAAGUUAUGUGUAUCCUAUGACCCAGGAAUACUAGACAUAUAUGCUAAAGACAAAACAAAACAACACAUCUGUAAAACACAGAUUUAAAGCAAGACUUUUUGUUGCAGCAAAGACCUGGAAAUAAAAUGGCACCCAGCAACUGGGGAAUGAUUCACUAAAUUAU